GUGACGGUGACCGAGUGGUUAAGGUGCUGGUUUUAAGUCUGCAACUCUUCGGAGUUUGAUAUAUUCACCAGUGACGAAAGUCGCGCGAGUUCGAACCUCGUCCGUCACA